UCGUAAAUACUAAAGUUAUUGACUUCGUCCUCUUCAAUCGGACGAGCUGAUAAUUUUGAGCUCACAGGUAAAUCUUCUAGAAGAUCAGGUGCCUCUGGGUCAACAAUAGGGCUUUUUUGACUUAAACCAUUAGACUCAGUAGAGUAAACCAAAUCUCCCACAACAGGACGAUCGCCCAAAUUCUUUAUCCGCCAAGAAGCAACUCUGUUCCAAACGUAAGAUUGAUAUGCAUGAGGGUAAAUACUUCUCAAGUGACGGGGAAUUCUCUGGAACGCUCCUAAAUAAUCAGUUUGAUUACCAGAUCGAGACCAUGUUUCCAAAAUGCUGGAUUCAGCUAUCAUCCUUCGAGGAAGAAUGCGAAGAGAAGCUUCAGCAUCAUGAGUGGAAUGCCAUAAAUCAAUUGCUUCUUUGACAGAACCGGUAUGCUCGGGCCUUGGUGAUAAAAUUAGGUCGACAGCGCCUUUCCAGUCUGAUUGUAAAAGACGAACUCCAAUGGUAUGUGUCCCGACAGAACUGGUACCGAAUCUUUGUAAACCAAAAUAGUUAAUAAACCCGUGCUCUUUUAAAGAAUUCAAUGCUUCAACAACCUUCUCUUUAGGCGUAAUAACAUUACGCACUACAAUGUGAAAUUCGUUUCCCUUCAAGUCUCCCAAUCUUAAAUUUGAAUUUUUAUAAGAAUAAUUUCCCAAAAGAAAACCAUAUGUGGAAUUUUUAAGAGAACCAGAGUUUAAUUGUGCGAGUCGAGAUGCUCUAACAUGAUGAAUAGCUACGCGUUGACAGGUUACGCCUCUUCUAUCUUUGGUUCCAGCAAUUGAUAAAGUCCUAGUGGGGACUUUGAGGAGGCGGGCAAUUUUACCAAGACAGUCCAUAGAAUCUCUGUUCUCCUUAUACAAAUGGAAAUGGCAAUAUUCACCACCCAAAGCCUUCCAACUUAAUCGGGGAUCUCUUCGUGAUCUAGGCUGGUUUUUUCUGGUGGUCUUUGACACUGUAAAAGUUCCAUUCCCUUUUGUAGAAGACUCGAGUCCAGAAAAGUUGUUUCGUAUGAAUUGAUGUAAGAUCGUUCGCUGACCUUUAUCCAUAGGAGGAGUAUUUUCGGGAAGAAUUAAUGAGAUGGGAUCAGUUAUUUCACCAACUGAUAGCUUAUGAAGAGAUUGAAUAAAUUCAUUACCAAUUCCCUUAGGUAUGAUACUUUGGAGGUCAUUCGGCAAUAUAGGCAGUGUAGCAGGUUCUUGUUCCUUAAAAGAAGGAGCUUUCUGGUCAUUACUUAUAUCUUGAUUAGAAGAAUCUUUUGCGUCUUCAGUUUCCUUGUCUCCGGUUGCCUUCGAAAGGAUAGGAUCGUGAGCUUCCAUAUCAGUUAAGUGAACUAUAUUUCCAUCUGUAUCAACUUCAAAAACAGCAAAAUCCGUGAAUCUUGCUUUAAUAAUUCCAUCGAUUGAAGGAAGAUUUGGAUUCAAAAACGCAUCAAUUCCUACAUCUGACUCGGUCAUAUAAAACUUCUGACCGCUCAAAUCUGAAGGAGCGUUGGCUUCAUCUUCUAAUCCAUUUCUUUCCAAAUUCCUUGAAGACUCAGAUUGGUCAAUCCGAAUCCUUUUCCUAGGGACAUCCACAUGGUUUUCUUGGGACAUUGCUAAAGCGAAUAUACAAA
rnacentral:lncRNA from 1 species